rnacentral:rRNA from 1 species
AGGACGAACGCUGGCGGCGCGCUUAACACAUGCAAGUCGAACGGGGUCCUUCGGGGCCCAGUGGCGAACGGGUGCGUAACACGUGAGCAACCUGCCCAUGCAUGGGGGAUAACCAAGGGAAACCUUGGCUAAUACCGCAUACGUUCUCUCGGGUGCAUGCCUGGGAGAGGAAAGCUCCUGCAAGGGAGCGUGCGGUGGAGGGGCUCGCGGCGUAUCGAGCUAGCUGGUGAGGUAACGGCUCACCAGGGCGACGACGCGUAGCCGAUCUGAGAGGAUGAUCGGCCACAUUGGGACUGAGACGUACGGCCAGACUCCG